UCGGCCCGGGCUGUGAGAUCCUGAGUGGAGUUUUGCUUUACAGAGACCAUAUAGGCACAAGACAACAAAAACGACCUCUCCCAGUUCCCUGCCCAGCGCACCAGCCAAGCACGCUCUACUGACAUCAGCCAGAGACGCGUAUUUGAGGCGCAACAAAGUUUCCAGGACUCCACAGCAGAGCCCUUGGUUUCAACUGGGAAAACAUCACAGUUACUGAAAAGAGGAUACAUAGUUAUCUCGCCACAAUGGCUAUUUCUACGCCCCAUUCUAACGGUACUAACAGUCGAUCACCUCGGCAAUGCAGUUAACGCACAUGAAAAUAAUUAAAGAAAAUUAAAGGGAGGAGAACGUAUUGGUUUUUCCUGUUAAGUAUCAUCAAUAGCUGCUCUGGACCAACAUCCUCAAAGCCAACAAAAGAGCCUCCUAUUAACACAAGCGGAAGCGUUGCAUCAUUAUCCAGUAAACCAGCCUGAUGACUCAGCAUUGGAAAUUCCCGCUGAAGUCAGCAGGACGGCUCAGCGCUGCUCACGAGUGUCAGAUCCAUUUUAACUACCAUUUUGAGGCCAUCCCAAGGCCUCAAAGGCAGACUUACCAUGCAGAACCCCUACUGGAACCAAGAGCUCCACGCACACGGAGAAACCAAGGCAUGGCAGAUAGUGCUGCCGAACCACCAAUAUCACUAUUCUGUACUAGAAUCGUUAUGGUUGAGAAAGACCUCUAAGAUCCCCAGGUCCAACCAUCCCCCCACGCCCACGGGCAUCAGGGCCGCAUCCCCACGGCUCCAAACACCCCCAGGAGCCGCCCACACCACCGCCUGGGCAGCUGUGCCACUGCCCUGCUAUCUCUGAGGAGAAAUCCCUCCUAAUAUCUAACCUGACCAAAAGCAACGAAAUUACUCAUUCACGCCUAUGAAAUUACUCACUGAGACA